rnacentral:rRNA from 1 species
UGGGGAAUAUUGGGCAAUGGGCGCAAGCCUGACCCAGCAACGCCGCGUGAAGGAAGAAGGCUUUCGGGUUGUAAACUUCUUUUGGCAGGGACGAAGAAAGUGACGGUACCUGCAGAAUAAGCUCCGGCUAACUACGUGCCAGCAGCCGCGGUAAUACGUAGGGAGCAAGCGUUAUCCGGAUUUACUGGGUGUAAAGGGCGCGUAGGCGGGGAUGCAAGUCAGAUGUGAAAUCUGGGGGCUCAACCCCCAAACUGCAUUUGAAACUGUAUUUCUUGAGUGAUGGAGAGGCAAGCGGAAUUCCUAGUGUAGCGGUGAAAUGCGUAGAUAUUAGGAGGAACACCAGUGGCGAAGGCGGCUUGCUGGACAUUAACUGACGCUGAGGCGCGAAAGCGUGGGGAGCAAACAGG